rnacentral:rRNA from 1 species
UACGUAGGGUGCGAGCGUUAAUCGGAAUUACUGGGCGUAAAGCGUGCGCAGGCGGUGAUGUAAGACAGAUGUGAAAUCCCCGGGCUCGACCUGGGAACUGCAUUUGUGACUGCAUCGCUGGAGUGCGGCAGAGGGGGAUGGAAUUCCGCGUGUAGCAGUGAAAUGCGUAGAUAUGCGGAGGAACACCGAUGGCGAAGGCAAUCCCCUGGGCCUGCACUGACGCUCAUGCACGAAAGCGUGGGGAGCAAACAGG